rnacentral:rRNA from 1 species
AUGCAACAUCGCGUUGAGCCCUGGAAAGGGCGCUGGCUGUCGAAGGCUGCUCGUGUGAUCCUUAUCAAUUCUUCGCUUGCUAGCCUCUUUUGGUUCCUCAUGAGCUUCUAUAGCCUCCAUGAAACCCUUCACCAGGAGAUCGCCAAAUACCAAUCCAAAUUCUUCUGGGCUGGGGAGGGGGAUAAGCAGAAGUACCACAUGGUCAGCUGGCCAGAUAUCUGCAAACCCAAGGACCUGGGCGGUCUUGGGAUCUUGUCCUCCCGACGCAUGAACAUUGCCCUCUUGACCCGUUGGCUCUGGCGCAUUGCCAAUGGAGAGGGAGGUCUCUGGCUUACUAUCAUCCAGAACAAGUACCUUCGUGGACAGCCUCUCGCAUUUUGUUAGCGCUCAGGCGGCUCCUAGUUUUGGCAGACCGUCGUCCAGCUGCUGCCCGUGCUUCGCAUUGGCACAUCCAUUUCGGUGGGUACUGGGUCCUCGAUCCUGUUCUGGUUUGAUAGGUGGCUUGGCGACACCCCCCUGGCCGCGCGUUUUCCAGUGCUCUUCGACAUCGCUGUUGACCCUCGAGUAUCUGUCGAGGCGGCCCUUAUUGACUUAGGGCGCCUCGCUUUCCGCCGCCCCUUUGGCCCCCCUGAGGUUGCAGCUUGGUAUGUCCUCCUCCAGGACACCGCCCUUCUCCCUAUGGACGUCACCGACACCCCAGACGCCAUCUCUUGGCGCCUGGAACCCUCCGGCUGCUUCUCCACCAAAUCCCUCUACGCGGCUAUCGCCCCAUCGACGGCCCCCGAGCCCUUCAGUUUGAUCUGGGACAUCCGCCUACCCCUGAAGAUCAGGAUCUUCCUGUGGCAAUGA